CUACGGGUCGCAGCAGUUAGGAAUUUUCUACAAUGCGCGCAAGCGUGAUAGAGCAAGCCAGAGUGCCCAUUUAUUAAUGGGCUUUUGCCAAAUGUAAAAAGUUUGGCGAAUAAGGACUGGGUAAGACGGGUGCCAGCCGCCGCGGUAAUCCCCGCGGUCCAAGUCGCAGCCAUCAUUAUUGGGUCUAAAACAUCCGUAGCUUGCUUCGUAAGUUCUUUGUGAAAUCCGGCAUCUCAAGUGUCGGGCGUGCAAAGAGUACUGCGGAGCUAGAGAUCGGGAGACGUGAGAAGUACGUUCAGAGUAGUAGUGAAAUAUUUUAAUCCUGGACGGACUCACAACAGCGAAGGCAUCUCACGAGAACGGUUCUGACAGUAAGGGAUGAAGGCUAGGGGCGCAAAAGGGAUUAGAUACCCUUGUAGUC
rnacentral:rRNA from 1 species